rnacentral:rRNA from 1 species
UACGGAGGAUCCGAGCGUUAUCCGGAUUUAUUGGGUUUAAAGGGUGCGUAGGCGGUUUGAUAAGUUAGAGGUGAAAUCCCGAGGCUCAACUUCGGAAUUGCCUCUGAUACUGUUCGGCUAGAGAGUAGUUGCGGUAGGCGGAAUGUAUGGUGUAGCGGUGAAAUGCUUAGAGAUCAUACAGAACACCGAUUGCGAAGGCAGCAUGCCGGCUUCCGACUGACGCUGAAGCACGAAAGCGUGGGGAUCGAACAGG